rnacentral:tRNA from 2 species
UGCCUUGAAGAGGAAUCGAACCUCCACGCUCUUGAGCACGAGAUUU